rnacentral:tRNA from 1 species
CGUGGGGUAGAGCAGUUGGUAGCUCGACAGACUCAUCAUCUGUAGGUCGGAGGUUCGAGUCCUUCCUCCACUA